AAGACCUUGCGCUUUUGGAGCGGCCGAUGCCUGAUUAGCUAGUUGGUGGGGUAAUGGCCUACCAAAGCUUCGAUCAGUAGCUGGUCUGAGAGGACGGCCAGCCACACUGGGACUGAGACACGGCCCAGACUCCUACGGGAGGCAGCAGUGGGGAAUUUUGGACAAUGGGCGCAAGCCUGAUCCAGCCAUGCCGCGUGAGUGAAGAAGGCCUUCGGGUUGUAAAGCUCUUUCAGCCGGGAAGAAAAGGUUGCGAUUAAUAAUCGCAAUUUAUAACGGUACCGGAAGAAGAAGCACCGGCUAACUACGUGCCAGCAGCCGCGGUAAUACGUAGGGUGCGAGCGUUAAUCGGAAUUACUGGGCGUAAAGGGUGCGCAGGCGGUUUUGUAAGUCAGAUGUGAAAUCCCCGGGCUUAACCUGGGAACU
rnacentral:rRNA from 1 species